rnacentral:tRNA from 1 species
GCAGUCGUGGCCGAGUGGUUAAGGCGAUGAACUAGAAAUCCAUUGGGGUCUCCCCGCACAGGUUCAAAUCCUGUCGACUAGG